rnacentral:misc_RNA from 1 species
CCUCAACGCCCGCGACUUGGCCGAUGGCGCCUGCAGCAGAGGUCGAUAGUCGCGUCGAAGGGUAUCUGGGCGGGCUGGCGGAGCAGCGAGAGUGGGACUCACUCUUCAGCUUUCAGGGAUGGUUCGGGAUCUCGAACGCUGCAGACUUGACGGGCUGUGUGA